AACGAACGCUGGCGGCAGGCUUAACACAUGCAAGUCGAGCGCCCCGCAAGGGGAGCGGCAGACGGGUGAGUAACGCGUGGGAAUCUACCCAUCUCUACGGAAUAACGCAUGGAAACGUGUGCUAAUACCGUAUACGUCCUUCGGGAGAAAGAUUUAUCGGAGAUGGAUGAGCCCGCGUUGGAUUAGCUAGUUGGUGGGGUAAAGGCCUACCAAGGCGACGAUCCAUAGCUGGUCUGAGAGGAUGAUCAGCCACACUGGGGCUGAGACGCGGCCCAGACUCCUACGGGAGGCAGCAGUGGUGUAUAUUUGUCAAUGGGCGGAAGCCUGAUCCAGCCAUGCCGCGUGAGUGAUGAAGGCCCUAGGGUUGUAAAGCUCUUUCACCGGUGAAGAUAAUGACGGUAACCGGAGAAGAAGCCCCGGCUAACUGCGUGCCAGCAGCCGCGGUAAUAC
rnacentral:rRNA from 1 species